GAUGCUGAGUAGUAUAUUUUCUCCACUGGGGUGUGCUGUUAGAGUAGCAUACUACUGUUGAUAUUUACCACAAGCUGAGAUUUAUUGUUUGUACUUUGUAGGAUAUUCAUACUUUUGCAGUGUGCUUUCUAUGUGAUUAAAAUCUUUAAAUCUUAUUGGUAUGUAUUAUCUGAUAGAGCUGGACGGCCAAUGCUUGUUCCUACACAUGUUUGAUCUAGACUAAUUUCAUGGUCUCAUACAAGUUGAGACUUGGUUAGUGUAGAAUAUGCGCAAUGUUAUUGUGCUUUAUAUGUAAGUAUAGUAAAGUUUAAUUCUCACUUAUAUGAGUUAACAUCCUAGUUAAUUAGACAGCCAAUACAUCUACACAUUUGCUCUUGUUUGUUUUAUGUUGCUAGCAGUUAGAUAUAUCUUGCAUAGUGUAGUUAAUUAUGGGUAUUCAUAUAAUGACUGAGCAUCAUGAUUGAGGCACAAGAAAUCCACAUCUGCAAAAUGGCUUGUGCUGUGUUCUGACAAUCAUUGGUUGGUUUUCCUUGAAGAUCCGGGGAAUUGGUUGACUGACAUCAGCUUGUCUGAACCAACUGAAGCACCACCAUUCUGGCCAAUGCCCGGGGAUUACCACUUGGUUGGUAACACCAGACAGACAUUCAUAGGAUGAGAGCUGAAGGUUUGCCCUCUGCACCUGUUUAAUCCCCUAGGUUUAGGUAGCAAUGCUGGACUGAAGUUAUGCUAUAUAUGAUGGCAUGUUUUGGCAGGGAUGUGGCAUGCUCUGUGAUGGUGACAAGUGUUUGGGUGCCUUAGAUUAACUUAGCAUCCUCAUUUCUGUUCAUGGCAUGGAGUGUUGUUGCAACCCUAAAUUAUAUAUGUUUACCUAGCUGUCCGUGCAUUGGUGGAGCACUGUGGACUCGAUCACCACGGCGUGACUUGGAUCAAGCUUAAUUUCAGUGACUUAAACCGCAAUGUUAUGCUAUGACUAUGCUCUUGUGCGAUCGCACCUUGUUUCA